GUAAGGUUGCUGCGCUGUCUAGAGUGUUCACGUUUGCCUGACCUCUGCUGAAAGUGGUACCUGCUCCUGCGUGUCUCUGUUAACUUUGACUACCAGCCUUAUUCCCCGCGCUUAGGAGUCAUUUCGGUUCUUAUUCAAAGGAGAGUUCUUUUCCCUGAGGAGAACCUCUGUCUACUACCCAAUUAACUUAGGAGUUAAUGACUGAGAGUACAUGUGAGGGGGGAGGUGACAUGUCUACCAGAGAUAGUAUCACAGUUGAAGGAUAGAAAAACAGUCACUUUUUUUUUUUUUUAAAGUAAGACUCAAAUAUUUAUCUUCAUUUAAAGAUGUGCUCAGGUAAAAUGAAAGUUGUUGAGAACAAUGAACAUGAAGGUCGUUUACAGGUACACAACCCACACGAUCAACACUCCUCCGUUUGUGUGUCUGUUCAUUGUCUCCCUCUGGGCUUACCUCCAGGCCCCGUCAGUUCACAAUCGAGAGAAGACUUCUCCUUGAACACUACCUCUGUCAGCCAAGUGAAUUCUUCAGUCCUGGAGCAAUGAUAGAACCUUGGGCUAUUGGGAAGUAGGACUAUUUCGGGGAGGUGAAUGGGCUGCUUGGUAGCUGUGGCAUACAGAGCAAGUUGGUAGCUGCCCCCCUCACAUUAUGUCUUUCUGAAAAGGAAGCUAUCAAACUAAACUCCAUUCACUUGAUUAGGUAACAGCAGAAACAACUUCCUUGAACCCUCUGCCCUUUAAGUAAGGAAAUGUACAGGGCACUCAGCACUCAAUAAAGGCUGUUCGAAAAUUUUUAUGAAAUGUCUUUAGAGAUGAAAACUCAACUGGAAAAGUAUGUGUCUAGUGAAUUUGUUCUGAAUCUUUGGUCUUCCAUUUGUAAUACAUAAGAAUGAACUAUAUACCACUUUAUGUAUUUUGAUCAUAUACUUUUCUAUAAGGUCCAAGGUGUGUAUUUGAAUUUAUAUAAACAGUCAUGCACAAGAUGUUUAGAACUGACUUAAAACACAGCUUUGUGGCUUACUACAUUGUGCAUAUUGUGUUCUCCUCUGAGCUCAUCUAACUUCAGCAUUACAAAGUUGAAGCGUAGGGGAGAGUCAGGACCUGAUGUGGUGAGUGGAUUCCUUGGCAUUUUCCACAGUGAUGAAGCUCAUUUGCUAGUAGUUGAUUGUCAUUCUCAAUCCAACGUGUUUUUAUAAUACAAAGUUUGGUGAACAUCUGUAUCGAUUUAUAAAUGGGCAACACAGGAAACGCCAACGGGUUUACUCAGAUUCUAAACAGAGAGCAGUCUGUUUCUCUUUCUAUUUAAUACAAAGCCAUUACACCAAAUUCUGAUCAUUUGCUAUCCUACUAUUUGUUCUCGGCAUAUAUCACUUACCAGGAAAAAUACUGUUAAUAACUGCACCACGGAGGGAAUCUUUCCAGAUCUUGUUCUCAGCUCAGGCUUUACACGUUGCCAGUCCCUGCCAGGUAAAUCAAACUAUAUGUCAGCCCUGAGGGCUGGAGAAGGGUUAGCAUUAGGGGACAGUUUGAGCAGGUGUAUAUGUAAUAUGUCUCCAUAAACUGUCUUAGGCUUCCUAAGCAUGGGAAUCCCUAAUGUGGGGACACAGACUCUGGUGUGUCAGGAAAAUCCAGUGUGUGCCUGUGAGAGUUGAGAGGAGGGACAGCAUGUGGCCAGUUUCCUUGAGAAAAUAGUGCAGUUGGUUCUUGCUAUCCACAGAGCAUUGGUUCCAAAACUACCAUCUUUGAAAAUCAAAGACCAGAGAUGUUGGACUCCCUGAUAUAAAAUGGCAGCAUAUUUGCCUAUAAACUACUAAGACCAUGUCUAAUACCUAAGACAAUAUCACUUGCUAUGUGAGUAGCUGUCACAUUAUAGCAUUUAGAGACUGAGGGUCGAAAAGAAACAUACACAUGUUCAGUACAGAACAUGCCAUGUGUUUCAUUUCUAUGGAGUAUUUUCAUCAUCAGAUGGUUGAAUAGACAGAUUCAGAACUAUGAUUUGACCAGCACCUAUAGCCAUUGAAUAAUUGGUUUGAGAUAUUGUGGAUUUUAGGAAGUUCGUUCUAGAAAUGAGACAAGUAGGUGGAGGAACUUUUACUGUAGUUGGUGAAGGAGUAGACGAGGCAAUGGAGAGAAACGGUAAAGACUUGGUGAUCAACAGCAGUAAGAACCAAGGAGAUACAGCUGGCUUUUAAGCCUGAGUUUAGAUAGUACAAAGUGGAAAAGGACAGUAAGAAGGACUGGAUGGGUAUUAAAGGGGACCGUAGAGGGAUUUAUGAAUAUAAAAUGUGUGAGCACACAGACUUGCUAUGCCAUCCACUUAUGUACGGGCCCUGUUGUAUUUCUUCCCUUUCUCUUCUCAUACAUUUAAACACACUGUGUGAUGUACUUCCCCUAUCCUUGAAACCUUUUCUUACUUUUCUAUUUCCCAAAGGGGAAAAAAACAAAACAAAAACAAAAAGAAACCAAACAUUUUGGGCAUAGACUCCUAUAAUCCCUUUCAGUGAAUCUUCACAAAGGUAUAUGUCAAGAUUUUAUAAUUUCCCACAGGGAUUAUUGCCUCCUAUUAAUUAUUUCUUAGAAAAACAAACAGACAAGCAAACAACAAUAACAAAAACAGCAGCCCACCCCUCUGGCCCUGUGUGAAUGGUCUGUACCAGGAUCUCAGUGAGGCAAUUGCGGUAACAGGUGUUCCUCUGUCUGCUGUUAUUCUCACUACUCUGAGGGUGACGUCAGUGUUCAUACUUCUUGUUGUUGUGGCUUUGGCUUCUGCAAAGCUAUAACUGGCUAGCUUGUAGCUUCAGCUUAAUUUUCAGGAUCCACUGGUUGUUUGCACUCAGAGUUGUUUAAAAAUAGAUCUCUCUCUCUCUCUCUCUCUCUCUCUCUGUGUGUGUGUGUAUUAUUUCAGUACCUGCAUUUGUAGAAGUGCCAGACACACCAAGAAUGCUUCUAAUUUUGAAACUUGGUUUUUUUUUUUAAAGUGGGGGGGGGGGCAAAGUCCCUGCAAUAUAAACUCUUGAGGGAGGGUGUUGCGAGGAAAGGGAAGUUUUAUAACCAUGCCAUGCCCUAGGGGUAGGUAUUGUGCCUGACUGCCUCUCCCAGGAGACUGUACUGAAGGUGGCUCUUACCUAGUGCUCCAGGGACAGCAGGGAAUCUGGCACACAGGUAUGACGUUUGAGUAUGAAUUAGACCCAAACAGAUCAUCAUUGUCUAAUUUUCUCUUGGUGAGGAAAUUAGCGCUAAUGAGGAAGCUUCUGGAUGGCUGGUUUCACAUACAGUUUUGGUUAGGGAUGGUGCUAAAUGCUUGUAAUGGGUAUAGCUCUGGGUAGGUUCUGCCUACAGGGAGGACUUUCUUUGUCCUAGUACCUCAUCAAUAGGCAACAUCAAUACUGUGGUGUUAUGUCUGGGUUAAUACCCAACCAUUCUUUAAGAUGUAUUUAUUUGAGUUCAUGAGUACACUGUUGCUGUCUUCAGAGACAGCAGGAGAGGGUACCACAUCCCAUUUCAGGUGGUUGGGAGCCACCAUGUCAUUGUUAGGAAUGGAACUCAGGACCUCUGGAAGAGCAGUCAGUGCUCUUAACUGCUGAGCCAUCUCUCCAGCCCUUCAACCAUUCUUUAAAAGAGGUGCGGGGCUGUGAUCAGACCUUCCUGUAAGCUGGGACAACCCAUUUACGGGAGUAUGGGUCAGAUAAGUGUGACGUCGACUUUACUUUCGUUAUUUUGUUGUGUCUUUGGAUAGUUUGAUAAUCCUUUCUGUCUUAAUGGUCUGACUUUCAAAAGUAGGGGAGAGCUGUAUUCAUGAAACAGCUGGGAGUAAAAGUGAGAUAAGCAGGCAACUGGGAAGAGUCAAGGACAUAACUUGAAACAAAGUACUU
rnacentral:lncRNA from 1 species